CUUAAAGGACCACUAUAGUGCCAGGAAAACAUACUCGUUUUCCUGGCACUAUAGUGCCCUGAGGGUGCCCCCACCCUCAGGGAUCCCCUCCCGCCCGGCUCUGGAAAGGGGAAAAGGGGUUAAACUUACCUUUUUCCAGCACUGGGUGGAGAGCUCUCCUCAUCCGAUCCUCCUCCGUUCCUCCUCCUGGGCUGAAUGCGCACGCGCGGCAAGAGCUGCGCGCACAUUCAGCCGGUCACAUAGGAAAGCAUUCAUAAUGCUUUCCUAUGGACGCUGGCGUGCUCUCACUGG